rnacentral:rRNA from 1 species
GAUGAACGCUGGCGGCGUGCCUAAUACAUGCAAGUAGAACGCUGAAGGAGGAGCUUGCCUUUUCUGGUUGAGUUGCGAACGGGUGAGUAACGCGUAGGUAACCUGCCCGGUAGGGGGGGAAAACUAUUGGAAACGAUAGCUAAAACCGAAUAACAGUAGUUAUUCCAUGUUAUUUGAUUGAAAGGGGAAAUUGCCCAAUUACUAGAUGGACCUGCGUUGUAUUAUCUAGUUGGUGAGGUAACGGCUCACCAAGGCGACGAUGCAUAGCCGACCUGGGAGGGUGAUCGGCCACACUGGGACUGAGACACGGCCCAGACUUCUACGGGAGGCAGCAGUAGGGAAUCUUCGGCAAUGGACGGAAGUCUGACCGAGGAACGCCGCGUGAGUGAAGAAGGUUUUCGGAUCGUAAAGCUCUGUUGUAAGAGAAGAACGAGUGUGAGAGUGGAAAGUUCACACUGUGACGGUAUCUUACCAGAAAGGGACGGCUAACUACGUG